GCAUAUCAAUAAGCGGAGGAAAAGAAACCAACAGGGAUUGCCUCAGUAACGGCGAGUGAAGCGGCAAAAGCUCAAAUUUGAAAUCUAGCACCUUCGGUGUUCGAGUUGUAAUUUGAAGAUGGUAACCUUGGGUUUGGCUCUUGUCUAUGUUCCUUGGAACAGGACGUCAUAGAGGGUGAGAAUCCCGUCUGAUGAGAUGCCCAUUCCUAUGUAAGGUGCUAUCGAAGAGUCGAGUUGUUUGGGAAUGCAGCUCUAAGUGGGUGGUAAAUUCCAUCUAAAGCUAAAUAUUGGCGAGAGACCGAUAGCGAACAAGUACAGUGAUGGAAAGAUGAAAAGAACUUUGAAAAGAGAGUGAAAAAGUACGUGAAAUUGUUGAAAGGGAAGGGCAUUAGAUCAGACUUGGUGUUUUACGAUUAUCUUCUCAUCUUGAGUUGUGCACUCGUAUUUCACUGGGCCAGCAUCGAUUCGGAUGGCAAGAUAAUGGCAGUUGAAUGUGGCUUCACUUCGGUGGAGUGUUAUAGCUUCUGCUGAUAUUGCCUGUCUGGAUCGAGGGCUGCGUCUUUUGACUAGGAUGCUGGCGUAAUGAUCUAAUGCCGC
rnacentral:rRNA from 1 species